AGUUUCGACCUCAUUUGGUCACCGAAAACUGUACCGAACUGUAAUCUUUAUCAGAUAACUGUCGGAUUUUAUUUCUCACUCUACGGGUGUCAGAAAAAUAUGAAACUUUAAAUCUAGCCUCAUAAAAAUAUUUCUGACUUAUCCUCCAAUUUUCAUAAUUUUCUGAGACUGUGCAUUUUCUGCUAAUUUAUCUGUCCCGUUUCCAACAGAAAAUUCUAGAUCUUCUGUUUUCAUUCCGAUUUCAGCACAAGUCACUUCUGACUUAUGUUUUACUUCUACAAAUCCAAUAAAAAUAGUUUCUCACACUAUUUUUAUUUAUUUUUAUUUUUAUACCAAAAUCUGGUAUGUUACAUUCUCCACCCCUUAAAAGAAUUUCGUCCGCGAAAUUCAAACCACGCCUCAAUUCAGCUCCAUGAGCAAUUGAGGGUACCAACUCAUUCUCCCACUCCAAAGCGGCUUCACACAAUCGUGGUUCCAGAAGCGGCUCAUACUGAAGGACAUGGGUUUAAUCCUAAACGCAUUUGCAAAGUGUGAUACAAACGUGCAUCACGGGUCUUGCAAGUCAUAGUGGCAGCGCAAGUCGGUACUCGACGACUCUACGCGCUCCAACACCACUCACCAUUCGAUACACAAAGAACUCUUCUUUGCACUUACCUUCCCUUCAGGGAAUACAUUCUGAUUCGAUCACCGACAUUGCUUAGAAGCAAUAUCACCGAUGCAUCGCUCCGUCAUGAGUGCUCUAAUUUCGCACUGACCCUUAACUUUAACGCGAGAUGGCCCACUUCGGCACAUCUCAAGUCUCAGUUCGCUUACGAGCAUAGUCUCCAACAUCACGUGGCUUUCCACUAGAUUGAUGUCUCACAAGGAGUACUUCAUCAUCUGAUACCACAUGCCACGAUCAACAUCAAACUAUUUUCGCAACGAGCUCACGCGAGCGCUUCGUUCGUGAAUUCGAGUCAAACUCCUCGAUAAGGCUAUCUGCCAAAUCGCUCUCUUCGGUCUCCACAGGUGGACCAAAGGCCACCAAUCCUACGUAGGCCUACCACCUAAACCUGUCUCAAUACGCAGCGUCUCUCGCUCGCAAAUGCAGACCCAAUCAUGAUCGGGCGAAAUUCUCACUUGGGAAUUCGCACACACUCCAACCAGGAGCAACUAAGACCCCAAACCACGUCAAGUCCUCGGGUUGGGUCACAACCAUACUCGGUGUACCAUCGGUCACACAAUCUAUCACGUGGCAUUCCACGCUCCCGGGCCUAAACUCGGACUACCGUCCUGACCAGAACUCUGCCCUACCCGUAGGUACCGGGCCGCUGUCACUCACAGCUGACUGCGCCUGCCCAAUGGGCCCAGGCUCCACAGUCCACAAAUGGUCCAGGCACGGGUCGUCCCCAAGCACUACCCGCCGUCGUCGUCCUACACGACAUACUCUACCGAGUCACACGUACCAAUAUCGGCUCCUAUGCACCUAGUGCGAGUCACCAGUCCCACGAGUGAUCCAUGGCACGCUUCACACCUAGCAAUGCUCAAGUGCUACUGCCAAUACACUCUCUCGGCUGAAUCCACAUCCGCACUCUACGGGUAUCUACACUCGAGCGCUCUACGCCUCUACAGCGUUCCACACGAAGUCCAGCAUUAGGCAAUCUUGCCUAUGCACACCGGCCGCACGAGCACAACCGCCUACCUCACCUUGAGGUACUACUAGGCCCACGUGCUCAAACUUGGCCACUAAUCGACCGUUCUCUCAACAGUGAUGCUACUUUCACUGUUCGAUCUACCGGACUGACAUCCGAAAUUUUCGGACUACUCGGGUGUUCUCAUAAGCAUCAUGGCUCAACUCUCGCAAUUUACUAUUCAUAAUUGCUCUGAGAGUCGUUUCGCCACUUCUAUCUCUACCGCGAGUCUCACUUCUCGCCAUAGAUUACUUCUAGCACUUCGCUAGUGCCAUCUGGCUCUAUACCUGUACUGGCAGGUACUACGCCCUUACAUAAUAUAAAACUCCAUUUCUAGAGCAAUCAAAUCUAUCUCUAGAAAUCCACCAUGAGAGAGUGCUUAGAAGCUUACCUCUCCAAGAAGCUCCAACCAAGGAGAAGAUGAAGAAGAUGAGGAAGACCUCCUUCUUCUUCUCUUUCUUUCCUUUCCUUUCUUCUUCCUCUUCUUGUCUUCUAGAGAGAGAAAGAGAGAUAUGAGAGGGUGUGUGGGUGAGAAAUAAGAGAAAAGAGCUCUCAUACCCCUCACAUAGCCCCACAUGUUGCAUAAGUGCAAACAAACCCCUCAAAUUUUAUUCUUUUACAUUGCCCUCACUGGGCCACUUUCGGGUUCGGGGACCGGUCUUCCCGACGAGGGACCGGUCUCCGAGAGCUUCUCCCCGCAGUCAGCAGAGCUCACACCCGAUGCAACCGGUCUUUCUUUGGGGGACCGGUCUCUCAGGGACCGGUCUCUCCAGCAGGGACCGGUCUCCGAGCGUUGUCCACCAGGGACUUAGCCGAUUUUUUUUUCUCUCCUCUUGCUGCCUGCGCGUUCGGGGACCGGUCUCUCCCGGCAGGGACCGGUCUCCGAGAACAGAAAACUUGCAGUUUGUAGAUCUUCAUUUCCAAGGCUCUCGAAGAUCCCUAGUAAUGCACUUUUGCAUUAUUNUUUGACGCCUUCGGCCUUUCCAAAGCGUACCAACCUCGCUCUUUGGUCAAUUUGACCAAGGUUCGAUACUUGGUUACUGAAAUUUCGGUAUAUUACAUACCCACUCGAUAACUAGCCGAUCCCGGACGAAGUCCAACUCUCGGCUCUCGAGAAUUCACUUCGUUACAACCAUACUGUACCAGUACACCCCUGGUGUUAAACUGGUAACACAUAUUCCAGGAUUUCGGUUUUGCAUCGCUUCGACACCAAUUCAUGCCGAGCAACGCUAAAACUAUUCUAACUCUUUUAGAACUCAAUUCUAACCCUUCCAACAAUAUUGGAAUGUCAAUUGGACUUUGUCCAACUACUUCUCUCGACGCACUUUGGUCAAUUUGACCAAAAGUGAUCUAACACGAUGAGGAUUCCUUUAAUUUCUCAAAGAUCAUGAGAGACGCCAAAACUCGUGUAGUUCCCAAUCUCCGCACGCCUCAAAUUGCCCAGGGACACCACUUGGCCCAUCCCGCGCCGAUCUAAAAGAAGAUCGCCUACGCGGUGCUAUCGCUUCCUAAAACGCGACAACUCUCCGAAUUUUCUGCUAAUUUAUCUGUCCCGUUUCCAACAGAAAAUUCUAGAUCUUCUGUUUUCAUUCCGAUUUCAGCACAAGUCACUUCUGACUUAUAUUUUACUCCUACAAAUCCAAUAAAAAUAGUUUCUCACACUAUUUUUAUUUAUUUUUAUUUUUAUACUAAAAUCUGGUAUGUUACAUUCUCCACCCCUUAAAAGAAUUUCGUCCGCGAAAUUCAAACAACACCUCAAUUCAGCUCCUCGAGCAAUUGAGGGUACUAACUCAUUCUUCCACUCCAGAGCGGCUCCACACCAUCGUGUUUGAGAAGCGGCUCAUUCUAAGGGACAUGGGUUUGAUAUUAAACACAUUUGCAAAAGGUGAUACAAAAGUGCAUCACGGGUCUUGCAAGUCAUAGUGGCUGCGCAAGUCGGUGCUCGACGACUCUACACGCUCCAACACCACUCACCAUUCGAUACACAAAGAACUCUUCUUUGCACUUACCUUCCCUUCAGGGAAUACAUUCUGAUUCGAUCACCGACAUUGCUUAGGAGCAAUGUCACCGAUGCAUCGCUCCGUUAUGAGUGCUCUAAUUUCGCACUGACCAUUAACUUUAACGUGAGAUGGCCCACUUCGGCACCUCUCAAGUCUUAGUUCGCUUACGAGCAUAAUCUCCAACAUCACGUGGCUUUCCACUCGUUUGAUGUCUCACAAUGAGUACUUCAUC
rnacentral:lncRNA from 1 species